rnacentral:rRNA from 1 species
UACAGAGGGUGCUAGCGUUAAUCGGAAUUACUGGGCGUAAAGCGCACGUAGGCGGAUUGUUAAGUCGGGGGUGAAAUCCUGGAGCUCAACUCCAGAACUGCCUUCGAUACUGGCGAUCUCGAGUUCGGGAGAGGUGAGUGGAACUGCGAGUGUAGAGGUGAAAUUCGUAGAUAUCGGGAGGAACACCAGUGGCGAAGGCGGCGAUCUGGGAAGAUACUGACGCUGAGGUGCGAAAGCGUGGGGAGCAAACAGG